rnacentral:rRNA from 1 species
GGGGAAUAUUGCGCAAUGGGGGGAACCCUGACGCAGCGACGCCGCGUGAGUGAAGAAGGUCUUCGGAUCGUAAAGCUCUGUCAUCGGGGACGAAGGUAUGACGGUACCCGGAGAGGAAGCCCCGGCUAACUACGUGCCAGCAGCCGCGGUAAUACGUAGGGGGCGAGCGUUGUCCGGAAUUACUGGGCGUAAAGGGUGCGUAGGCGGCCUGAUAAGUCAGGUGUGAAGUACCAGGGCUCAACCCUGGGGGUGCACUUGAAACUGUCGGGCUUGAGUGCAGGAGAGGAAAGCGGAAUUCCUAGUGUAGCGGUGAAAUGCGUAGAUAUUAGGAGGAACACCAGUGGCGAAGGCGGCUUUCUGGACUGUAACUGACGCUGAGGCACGAAAGCGUGGGUAGCGAAC